UUGGAUAUUGGCCUAGUUCUGUGUGGAAGACUAGUGAUUUUGUUGUUUUUAGAUAACUAAAUCGACAACAAAUCACAGUCUGCCAUAUGGCACAGGCCAUGCCUCUACAG
ensembl:miRNA